GACAAAAGUGUGUGUGUUGGUGAGUUCUAGAAUCAAUGAGAACAAAAGAAAAACAAAAAGAAAAAGGUGAACUCAAAAUGUUGAACAUGAAUGAAAUUGAAGCAAAAAGGACUGAGAGAGAAAGAGGAGGAUCGAGAGAGAGAGAGAGAGUUAGCUGCUGGAGAUCCAACUCAAGAGCUCAAGAAGAAGAAGAAAUAAGGAAGGAAAAGCUAGGAAAGGUGUGGAGUGGAAUUAAACGGGAGUUCAAGAAUUUAUCAAAGAUUCAUCAAAUUUAAGAGUUUAGGUCACGCACUAUUGUCUGCCUUCUCUGAUUUGCUAGCGGAGCCAUCUAUGAGUAAUAACUCUGUAAAGUGAUUAGGCGCGUGACCAGGUCUAGAGCUUCUACCUGGACUUUGUUUUGUCAGCCAACCUAUGUGCCUCCUGUAGAGGUUCCGGAUAUGCCAAGUGGUUAUGGCUAUGUGCAUAAAAUUCAAGUCUUGUUUCCUUGUUUUUGUUUAUUCUGUAUCUAGGGCGAGGUCCCUUCUUGUCUGGUCUGUAUAUAUAUGAUGAUGUGUAAAUAGGCCUUUCGAUAAUCCCAUGAUUACUGGUCAGUUACAAUGCUAAACCUAUAAGGGUGGGUUUAGGUCGUGACAUAGAGCAAACCAGCAAAGACAAAGAAGUACUUGAUGCUGAUGAGUAUGUCUUGCCUCAACCAACAAGUGUCAGAAAAUUUUGGAUUUUUCUACAAAAUCUACCAAUUGCAAAAUUGGUAAAAGAACAUGUCAAAGAUGUCUUGCAGCACAUAUCAAAUGUGUCUGGACUAGAGGCUUUAAUCUGGACAAGCGAGUUGAAUUUAAUUACUUUUGAAGAUAUCGGAAACCUAAUAAAGGAAAAAGAAAUUGCCAACAAUGUCGUUGAUGGUUAUGGAGAGAUCCUAUUUACUGACCAAAGGAGAAAAAGACAACAACCAACUUCAUUUUUUUUUCACAUUUAUGAGCUUGAACUUCAUCAAGAUGACAGAAAAUCAAACUUUCCGAGUCUCAUUAAUUGACAAGCAUCUUAAAACAACAUGGAGGAACUACAGGUUCCUUAAUUUCCCAAUAAAUAUCGGGGGUAAUGAGAAGUCAACAGAUGAAAAUCACUAAACCUUGCUAGUCUUGGACAAACAAGAUAAUUUAUGGAGGUACUACGACUCACUAAGGCCAAUAAGGGAUGAUGCAUAAGAAAAAUAUAUCAAAGAUGCAAAAUAAUUGUGUGGAUUGUGGCCUCUUUGUAUGCUACAUAAUGAGACAAUGUAGCAACCAUGAACCUAUCAGUUUGAAAUUGUUGACACAAGACGUAAGGUUGAUGAGGACAGAAAUCAUAGAGAGAUUUGCGACCAAAGUUGGCCGGUCAUGGAUAGAACCAAUUCAAAUACCACUAGAAGAAAAACUAAGAGUAUAAUAGUGAAAGCAUACUAGUGAAAUAAAGACAAUGCACACAAUGUAAUUAGGAAUAACACUUCAAUUUGAAUUUUCAUACAUUAAAGGAAUGAUGAUAUUUUGACUAAUGUAAA